rnacentral:lncRNA from 1 species
GAAACAGAAGCUCUGGCAAUAGCCGGCUGCUUGCUCAAGGUGACACAGUUAAUGGAGAGGCAGAUCUCUGGAUGCCGCGUCUCGGGCCACGCCUGCCUCCCCCGCCGCCACGUGCAUACACAGAAUUCCUCAUGCUGCUGCUAUCACGGAACUCAGGGUUCAUCUCAAAGAUCUCUCUUUGCAUAAUGUGUGUGUGGACCUGCCUACAGAUAUAUUGGGUGGAAGCCCUAGGAGCCUCAAGCAAGUCUGAAGAUUGGCCCUGAGAACCACUGUUCUCAUUAUCAGCAAGGAUUUUAUCCAGAGACCUCUAGGAAUACAUUCACUAAAAUGCGACUGUGGUCCUGUGGUUGUAUGAACUCUGGCUCUUCUCGUGGAUUACAUUUCACUGGAGUCAGGUGUUUUCUGUAAACAUCAUUAAACCACAAGACCAACUGCAUUGAA